UUUGCGGAUAUUAGAUCCUAGUUUCGUUAAUUGUCUUUUGAGGUUUUUGUUUUAUAUCUGUUGACUGGACUGGAUCCUGAUUUCUUCUAGUCUCCUAAAAUAUCUGGCUACAGAUGUCCAAACUAACGUUUUUGAUUUUUUCCAUCAUUUUCAUUUGAAAUCACUGAAAACUGAACCUGCCCUUUUUCCUGAAGCCUUACAAACUGAAGCUGAUGGACUUGAUACAAACUUAAGAGAUUACUUGAUGACAUCAUCGGAGACAUUUUAAACUGCAAAAGAUGCUUUGACGCUGACAUCUGAAAUUCUUCUUCACUGGCUGUCCUCUAAACUCAAAAACUGUUUUAUGACUUGCUCUAACCAUUAACCUUGUUUUUCUUUUGUUUCCAUAGAAAUGCUUCUAUUAAAUACUUGAUUGCUUGCUUCCAUAAUAUAGGCGUAACCUUGAGAGCCCACCUGCAUCACCACCUUCCAAAAUGAACUUAAUUGAACUGAUCUAUUAUCAGGACUAAGAAAUGUGUUCAGUGAGAUGAAACAAUCUACCAACUCAGCUUCUGGACUAUGAAACUUCUUUAAGUUUCAAAAGGACUGUGAAACUUUUAGUUUCAAAGGCAGGACUGUGGGAGAUCAAGGUUUGGCCACCCUGAAAUCUAUCUCUUUACCUUGGUUGUUUUCUCUAGGGACAUUUGACCUCCCCCACUAACUGCCUAAAGAAUUUGACAUGGUGGCUCCUUCCUAGAACAGAUCUAUCAUGACUGCUAUAAAGAUAAUGUAGGAUAGAGGUUACAAUAGAAAAGGCACCAACAAGCCCAUCUUAUCAGGAGUUCUGUCUCUCUGGCCACAUUCUUUGGAUGGCCCUGCAAGGAGUUGCCAGACAAUCAUUUACAAGGGAAGUCUCCAUUUGUAAAGGUAUCUCCCUCUCUGUAUUGGGAAGAGAGGGGGAUGAGCUCAUUUCUAGUGACUUAUCAAUGUGGAAGGUGAGGCCUUGAGCUACAUAAUAAACCUUACUCUUGUUUACUGUGCUUUAGUGGUAAUUUCCUGUAACUGACUCCCCCCACCCCCAAAAUCUUCCUUUGUCAUUGGCUGAAAAUGGUAUUUAAGACGAGAAUUUCUGCUAUUGUGUUGAGAAACGCAGUGUCCCUGCUUUCUCCCAUGUAUACAUGUUAUUAACCUUGGUAUUAUUUUCUCCUGCUAACCUGUCUUGUUGAUUAUUUGGCCAGCCAGAAGAACCUUAAGGGAAAGGGCAGAGAGAGAUUCUCCCUCUUCCCCCGACAGUUUUGGCGUAGUCGCCAGGAGCCACACUGGCUGACAAGUUGCCUUCUCUGGCUGGAAGACCUGCCUUCUCCCUGGACCACUGCAGAUGGUGAGAUACGGGAACGCCUGACAAAAGCUGGCAAAAGGUAAGACUUCUUACCAUGUCAGCCUCCCGGAAUCUCUAUCUGCGGAGUCCGGCGGAAGGAAAUGAAAAAUUCAUGGAAAGGACUCUGACAUUUACACUGAAGUACAGGCUUCUGAUAAACUUUCUGAUCAUAAAACUAAACUUGGUAAGAAAUUACAGACAUCUGAUGGAGAGACUGAUAACUUCAUGAAGCUGCUAACAAAAAGAUUGAGAUCAAGAAUGGAUUAUACGGGACUGAAUAAACUGAUAAGGAUGCUUAUAAUUUUUAUGAUUUUUCAUUUGAAGUAUUGCUGAAUUUUUAAUGUUUUGUUUUUUUCAGAUUUAAGGAAAACUUUUUCUUGUUUCUCCUGAGCUAGCUAUGACUUAUAACAAUUUGGUAAAUGAUAUUUUUGUAAGUAAAAUGGAAAUAUUUAUCUUUUUCUCUCUACCUGAUCCCUCCAGGAUUUGGAAACUCUUAGUAAGUGAGUAUUGUUGUUUUCAUGGCAAUAUGGUUAUUUGCAUAAGUUCAAUAAGAAUCUGUUCUCCUUAUAACAGGACACAAUUGGAAACACUUGUUAUAUUACCAAGGUUGUGACUGGAACAUCAUAUUUGCGAUAUAACCAUAUAGCUUUUGAGGAAUGAAGAUUGGACUUUAUGGAAUAAAGACACUUGGAAAUAUUGGCCUGGUACCUUAUGUUCCAAGUAGCACUUACCAGGAUAAGUAAAGAAUGUCACUUGUCUGGCAGGUACAAGGAACGUUGAAAUAUUUGGGGGGAACCUUGGAAGAGAGGAAUUCACCCAAAUCUGUAGGUAUUGCAGGCAAAGUCUGAUGACAAAAUCCUUGGUUUGGCUUUCCUGGCCUUGAGAGGCUUUUGAAGUUCAAUGUGAGAUUCCUUACAAAAGUUCCAGCAAAGCAGAUUUAAAAGAGCCUAUGUGGUCAAUUGCUAUUCUUGCUGUACUUAUGGAAAUAAUUGGGCCAACUCUAUUGAAACUAGACUUAUUUUGCAAACUAGUUAGUUUUAAGUUGGCUAUCUUUGAUAAAAAUGAGGGUGAUUUUUGAGAAAAAAAUUAUGUUUCAGUAAAAACUAUAGUAUACAUUUGCGGAUAUUAGAUCCUAGUUUCGUUAAUUGUCUUUUGAGGUUUUUGUUUUAUAUCUGUUGACUGGACUGGAUCCUGAUUUCUUCUAGUCUCCUAAAAUAUCUGGCUACAGAUGUCCAAACUAACGUUUUUGAUUUUUUCCAUCAUUUUCAUUUGAAAUCACUGAAAACUGAACCUGCCCUUUUUCCUGAAGCCUUACAAACUGAAGCUGAUGGACUUGAUACAAACUUAAGAGAUUACUUGAUGACAUCAUCGGAGACAUUUUAAACUGCAAAAGAUGCUUUGACGCUGACAUCUGAAAUUCUUCUUCACUGGCUGUCCUCUAAACUCAAAAACUGUUUUAUGACUUGCUCUAACCAUUAACCUUGUUUUUCUUUUGUUUCCAUAGAAAUGCUUCUAUUAAAUACUUGAUUGCUUGCUUCCAUAAUAUAGGCGUAACCUUGAGAGCCCACCUGCAUCACCACCUUCCAAAAUGAACUUAAUUGAACUGAUCUAUUAUCAGGACUAAGAAAUGUGUUCAGUGAGAUGAAACAAUCUACCAACUCAGCUUCUGGACUAUGAAACUUCUUUAAGUUUCAAAAGGACUGUGAAACUUUUAGUUUCAAAGGCAGGACUGUGGGAGAUCAAGGUUUGGCCACCCUGAAAUCUAUCUCUUUACCUUGGUUGUUUUCUCUAGGGACAUUUGACCUCCCCCACUAACUGCCUAAAGAAUUUGACAUGGUGGCUCCUUCCUAGAACAGAUCUAUCAUGACUGCUAUAAAGAUAAUGUAGGAUAGAGGUUACAAUAGAAAAGGCACCAACAAGCCCAUCUUAUCAGGAGUUCUGUCUCUCUGGCCACAUUCUUUGGAUGGCCCUGCAAGGAGUUGCCAGACAAUCAUUUACAAGGGAAGUCUCCAUUUGUAAAGGUAUCUCCCUCUCUGUAUUGGGAAGAGAGGGGGAUGAGCUCAUUUCUAGUGACUUAUCAAUGUGGAAGGUGAGGCCUUGAGCUACAUAAUAAACCUUACUCUUGUUUACUGUGCUUUAGUGGUAAUUUCCUGUAACUGACUCCCCCCACCCCCAAAAUCUUCCUUUGUCAUUGGCUGAAAAUGGUAUUUAAGACGAGAAUUUCUGCUAUUGUGUUGAGAAACGCAGUGUCCCUGCUUUCUCCCAUGUAUACAUGUUAUUAACCUUGGUAUUAUUUUCUCCUGCUAACCUGUCUUGUUGAUUAUUUGGCCAGCCAGAAGAACCUUAAGGGAAAGGGCAGAGAGAGAUUCUCCCUCUUCCCCCGACAGUUUUGGCGUAGUCGCCAGGAGCCACACUGGCUGACAAGUUGCCUUCUCUGGCUGGAAGACCUGCCUUCUCCCUGGACCACUGCAGAUGGUGAGAUACGGGAACGCCUGACAAAAGCUGGCAAAAGGUAAGACUUCUUACCAUGUCAGCCUCCCGGAAUCUCUAUCUGCGGAGUCCGGCGGAAGGAAAUGAAAAAUUCAUGGAAAGGACUCUGACAUUUACACUGAAGUACAGGCUUCUGAUAAACUUUCUGAUCAUAAAACUAAACUUGGUAAGAAAUUACAGACAUCUGAUGGAGAGACUGAUAACUUCAUGAAGCUGCUAACAAAAAGAUUGAGAUCAAGAAUGGAUUAUACGGGACUGAAUAAACUGAUAAGGAUGCUUAUAAUUUUUAUGAUUUUUCAUUUGAAGUAUUGCUGAAUUUUUAAUGUUUUGUUUUUUUCAGAUUUAAGGAAAACUUUUUCUUGUUUCUCCUGAGCUAGCUAUGACUUAUAACAAUUUGGUAAAUGAUAUUUUUGUAAGUAAAAUGGAAAUAUUUAUCUUUUUCUCUCUACCUGAUCCCUCCAGGAUUUGGAAACUCUUAGUAAGUGAGUAUUGUUGUUUUCAUGGCAAUAUGGUUAUUUGCAUAAGUUCAAUAAGAAUCUGUUCUCCUUAUAACAGGACACAAUUGGAAACACUUGUUAUAUUACCAAGGUUGUGACUGGAACAUCAUAUUUGCGAUAUAACCAUAUAGCUUUUGAGGAAUGAAGAUUGGACUUUAUGGAAUAAAGACACUUGGAAAUAUUGGCCUGGUACCUUAUGUUCCAAGUAGCACUUACCAGGAUAAGUAAAGAAUGUCACUUGUCUGGCAGGUACAAGGAACGUUGAAAUAUUUGGGGGGAACCUUGGAAGAGAGGAAUUCACCCAAAUCUGUAGGUAUUGCAGGCAAAGUCUGAUGACAAAAUCCUUGGUUUGGCUUUCCUGGCCUUGAGAGGCUUUUGAAGUUCAAUGUGAGAUUCCUUACAAAAGUUCCAGCAAAGCAGAUUUAAAAGAGCCUAUGUGGUCAAUUGCUAUUCUUGCUGUACUUAUGGAAAUAAUUGGGCCAACUCUAUUGAAACUAGACUUAUUUUGCAAACUAGUUAGUUUUAAGUUGGCUAUCUUUGAUAAAAAUGAGGGUGAUUUUUGAGAAAAAAAUUAUGUUUCAGUAAAAACUAUAGUAUACAUUUGCGGAUAUUAGAUCCUAGUUUCGUUAAUUGUCUUUUGAGGUUUUUGUUUUAUAUCUGUUGACUGGACUGGAUCCUGAUUUCUUCUAGUCUCCUAAAAUAUCUGGCUACAGAUGUCCAAACUAACGUUUUUGAUUUUUUCCAUCAUUUUCAUUUGAAAUCACUGAAAACUGAACCUGCCCUUUUUCCUGAAGCCUUACAAACUGAAGCUGAUGGACUUGAUACAAACUUAAGAGAUUACUUGAUGACAUCAUCGGAGACAUUUUAAACUGCAAAAGAUGCUUUGACGCUGACAUCUGAAAUUCUUCUUCACUGGCUGUCCUCUAAACUCAAAAACUGUUUUAUGACUUGCUCUAACCAUUAACCUUGUUUUUCUUUUGUUUCCAUAGAAAUGCUUCUAUUAAAUACUUGAUUGCUUGCUUCCAUAAUAUAGGCGUAACCUUGAGAGCCCACCUGCAUCACCACCUUCCAAAAUGAACUUAAUUGAACUGAUCUAUUAUCAGGACUAAGAAAUGUGUUCAGUGAGAUGAAACAAUCUACCAACUCAGCUUCUGGACUAUGAAACUUCUUUAAGUUUCAAAAGGACUGUGAAACUUUUAGUUUCAAAGGCAGGACUGUGGGAGAUCAAGGUUUGGCCACCCUGAAAUCUAUCUCUUUACCUUGGUUGUUUUCUCUAGGGACAUUUGACCUCCCCCACUAACUGCCUAAAGAAUUUGACAUGGUGGCUCCUUCCUAGAACAGAUCUAUCAUGACUGCUAUAAAGAUAAUGUAGGAUAGAGGUUACAAUAGAAAAGGCACCAACAAGCCCAUCUUAUCAGGAGUUCUGUCUCUCUGGCCACAUUCUUUGGAUGGCCCUGCAAGGAGUUGCCAGACAAUCAUUUACAAGGGAAGUCUCCAUUUGUAAAGGUAUCUCCCUCUCUGUAUUGGGAAGAGAGGGGGAUGAGCUCAUUUCUAGUGACUUAUCAAUGUGGAAGGUGAGGCCUUGAGCUACAUAAUAAACCUUACUCUUGUUUACUGUGCUUUAGUGGUAAUUUCCUGUAACUGACUCCCCCCACCCCCAAAAUCUUCCUUUGUCAUUGGCUGAAAAUGGUAUUUAAGACGAGAAUUUCUGCUAUUGUGUUGAGAAACGCAGUGUCCCUGCUUUCUCCCAUGUAUACAUGUUAUUAACCUUGGUAUUAUUUUCUCCUGCUAACCUGUCUUGUUGAUUAUUUGGCCAGCCAGAAGAACCUUAAGGGAAAGGGCAGAGAGAGAUUCUCCCUCUUCCCCCGACAGUUUUGGCGUAGUCGCCAGGAGCCACACUGGCUGACAAGUUGCCUUCUCUGGCUGGAAGACCUGCCUUCUCCCUGGACCACUGCAGAUGGUGAGAUACGGGAACGCCUGACAAAAGCUGGCAAAAGGUAAGACUUCUUACCAUGUCAGCCUCCCGGAAUCUCUAUCUGCGGAGUCCGGCGGAAGGAAAUGAAAAAUUCAUGGAAAGGACUCUGACAUUUACACUGAAGUACAGGCUUCUGAUAAACUUUCUGAUCAUAAAACUAAACUUGGUAAGAAAUUACAGACAUCUGAUGGAGAGACUGAUAACUUCAUGAAGCUGCUAACAAAAAGAUUGAGAUCAAGAAUGGAUUAUACGGGACUGAAUAAACUGAUAAGGAUGCUUAUAAUUUUUAUGAUUUUUCAUUUGAAGUAUUGCUGAAUUUUUAAUGUUUUGUUUUUUUCAGAUUUAAGGAAAACUUUUUCUUGUUUCUCCUGAGCUAGCUAUGACUUAUAACAAUUUGGUAAAUGAUAUUUUUGUAAGUAAAAUGGAAAUAUUUAUCUUUUUCUCUCUACCUGAUCCCUCCAGGAUUUGGAAACUCUUAGUAAGUGAGUAUUGUUGUUUUCAUGGCAAUAUGGUUAUUUGCAUAAGUUCAAUAAGAAUCUGUUCUCCUUAUAACAGGACACAAUUGGAAACACUUGUUAUAUUACCAAGGUUGUGACUGGAACAUCAUAUUUGCGAUAUAACCAUAUAGCUUUUGAGGAAUGAAGAUUGGACUUUAUGGAAUAAAGACACUUGGAAAUAUUGGCCUGGUACCUUAUGUUCCAAGUAGCACUUACCAGGAUAAGUAAAGAAUGUCACUUGUCUGGCAGGUACAAGGAACGUUGAAAUAUUUGGGGGGAACCUUGGAAGAGAGGAAUUCACCCAAAUCUGUAGGUAUUGCAGGCAAAGUCUGAUGACAAAAUCCUUGGUUUGGCUUUCCUGGCCUUGAGAGGCUUUUGAAGUUCAAUGUGAGAUUCCUUACAAAAGUUCCAGCAAAGCAGAUUUAAAAGAGCCUAUGUGGUCAAUUGCUAUUCUUGCUGUACUUAUGGAAAUAAUUGGGCCAACUCUAUUGAAACUAGACUUAUUUUGCAAACUAGUUAGUUUUAAGUUGGCUAUCUUUGAUAAAAAUGAGGGUGAUUUUUGAGAAAAAAAUUAUGUUUCAGUAAAAACUAUAGUAUACAUUUGCGGAUAUUAGAUCCUAGUUUCGUUAAUUGUCUUUUGAGGUUUUUGUUUUAUAUCUGUUGACUGGACUGGAUCCUGAUUUCUUCUAGUCUCCUAAAAUAUCUGGCUACAGAUGUCCAAACUAACGUUUUUGAUUUUUUCCAUCAUUUUCAUUUGAAAUCACUGAAAACUGAACCUGCCCUUUUUCCUGAAGCCUUACAAACUGAAGCUGAUGGACUUGAUACAAACUUAAGAGAUUACUUGAUGACAUCAUCGGAGACAUUUUAAACUGCAAAAGAUGCUUUGACGCUGACAUCUGAAAUUCUUCUUCACUGGCUGUCCUCUAAACUCAAAAACUGUUUUAUGACUUGCUCUAACCAUUAACCUUGUUUUUCUUUUGUUUCCAUAGAAAUGCUUCUAUUAAAUACUUGAUUGCUUGCUUCCAUAAUAUAGGCGUAACCUUGAGAGCCCACCUGCAUCACCACCUUCCAAAAUGAACUUAAUUGAACUGAUCUAUUAUCAGGACUAAGAAAUGUGUUCAGUGAGAUGAAACAAUCUACCAACUCAGCUUCUGGACUAUGAAACUUCUUUAAGUUUCAAAAGGACUGUGAAACUUUUAGUUUCAAAGGCAGGACUGUGGGAGAUCAAGGUUUGGCCACCCUGAAAUCUAUCUCUUUACCUUGGUUGUUUUCUCUAGGGACAUUUGACCUCCCCCACUAACUGCCUAAAGAAUUUGACAUGGUGGCUCCUUCCUAGAACAGAUCUAUCAUGACUGCUAUAAAGAUAAUGUAGGAUAGAGGUUACAAUAGAAAAGGCACCAAGAAGCCCAUCUUAUCAGGAGUUCUGUCUCUCUGGCCACAUUCUUUGGAUGGCCCUGCAAGGAGUUGCCAGACAAUCAUUUACAAGGGAAGUCUCCAUUUGUAAAGGUAUCUCCCUCUCUGUAUUGGGAAGAGAGGGGGAUGAGCUCAUUUCUAGUGACUUAUCAAUGUGGAAGGUGAGGCCUUGAGCUACAUAAUAAACCUUACUCUUGUUUAUUGUG